CGACUCUAUUCUGCAGGAUUACCAUGUAUAUAUAUACAGAAAGAGAAAGAGAGUUGGUGAGUUAACUUCAUUAUUGGUUUCUUAAAAACAAACACCGAUUCACUGUAAUUUGGAUGGCAAUUGUGUAACUUCAUAUGGAACAAAUAUUACAAGGGACUGUUUGAAAUGAAUCAGUUUUCUCACUGAUGUUAAUAUUCUUUCCCUCUGUGUGUGUGUGUGUGUGUGUGUAUGUGAAUAUAUAGGUGUGCAUGUGUGUAUAUAUAUAUAUAUAUAUUACUUGUGCUGGUGGCACAUUAGAAGAUCAUUCGUAAUCCUAUUUAAUAUUUUUGCCAUCUUGUGCACAUGAGCAGCAGUAUAGAGUGAAGUGUGGCAUGAUGAGUUGAGUAUAACAUGAAGUAUAGAAUACAAUGUAGAGUGGAGUUAGUGUGGUAAGAAAUGAAAUAUAUGUAGCAUUGCGUGUAGCAUGAAUCGUGGAGUAUAGACAUGACAUGUUGCCAACUGAUGUCAAUAAAUUGAACUUGCAUCAAG